AUUGAACGCUGGCGGCAGGCCUAACACAUGCAAGUCGAACGAGCGGCGGACGGGUGAGUAAUGUAUGGGGACUGCCCGAUAGCGGGGGAUAACUACUGGAAACGGUGGCUAAUACCGCAUACUAUCGGAUAACCCAUAUGGGAUUAGCUAGUAGGUGGGGUAAAGGCUCACCUAGGCGACGAUCCCUAGCUGGUCUGAGAGGAUGAUCAGCCACACUGGGACUGAGACACGGCCCAGACUCCUACGGAGGCAGCAGUGGGGAAUUUUGGACAAUGGGCGAAACCCUGAUGCAGCCAUGCCGCGUGUAUGAAGAAGGCCUUAGGGUUGUAAAGUACUUUCAGCGGGGAGGCGUUACCUGCAGAAGAAGCACCGGCUAACUACGUGCCAGCAGCCGCGGUAAUUC
rnacentral:rRNA from 1 species